CAGUGGUGGAAGUCUCCAAAUGAGAUGAGUGCUAAGAAGUGAGGUGCUCAUGUUCAGCUGACAAAUUGUCAUUCCUAUCGAGUACUCGUGCUUGAGCUACAGAAGGCAUUUGACAUCGCUGGACUUUAAAGCUCUUUUUGAGGAGUAUCACAACCCAGCCUUGAGAGAUCUGCAGUUUUGGAGGGGGUGCCAAUUGUAGGUGUGCAGAAAUAAUGGCGUGACUCAAGACUGCUUUGACAGGCAAAUCCACCUGCAGUCUGGGCAUACCUAUUUAUUGCCUGGAAAAAAAAAGUUGAACCAUCUGUGUAAGAAAAAACAAUUCACACAAGUUCCUAACAUAAAUAAGCACACACAAAGUAUGGAAAACUGUUCUACAGAUUCAAGUUUGACAGCUUGUUCAGUGCAGCAUUACAUAGUAAAAUUGCUCUGUAAAGGGAUUAGAUGUUUUGUCUGUUUCACUUUUUAUUGGAUGCUCAAGGUGGUUAUUUAGUCUGCAUUUACUACGUGUUAUGUAUUGGUUAAAUGCAGGUACUGCCCAGUUAUGCCUGACCAACUCCUCUUUGCUGUGGCUGUUCCUCUUUCCUUCCUUCCAUACCACUCUCCCCACCUUGGAAGCCUCAGACAUCCAAGCCAGAGC